rnacentral:rRNA from 1 species
GACGAACGCUGGCGGCGUGCUUAACACAUGCAAGUCGAACGAUGACGACCGAACUUCCUCGGCCUGAUUAGUGGCGAUCGGGCGAGUAACACGUGCACAACCUGCCCUCCACUUUGGGAUAACCUCGGGAAAUCGGAGCUACUCCAGGAUCUGAGCCCCUGUCGCCUUGCGGGCGUUGGAUUGUUUUGCGGUGCAUGCUUGGCUCGCGGCCUAUCUGAUUGUUGGUUUGGUAGUGGCUCACGAAGUCGAUGAGGGGCAGCCGACCAGCGAGGGUGACCGGACACACUGGGACUGCGACACGGCCCAGUCGCGUACAUGAGGCAGGAGUGGGGAAUAUUACACAAUGUGCGCAAGCCUGAUGCAGCGGCGCCGCGUAUGGGAUGACAGCCUUCGGGUAGUAAACAUCUUUCAGCAGGGAAGAAGCUAGAGUGACGGUACCUACAGAAGAAGCGCCGGCUAACUACGUG